rnacentral:lncRNA from 1 species
AUUGCUGGCGGACGGAGACUCCUAGGUUAGCUACAGGCUCCACACCUCGCGAAAGCUGGGCCUUGAGAUCAGGCGGGUUAUCUCUGUGCUCCUCACUCGGUGUCUCUCAGCUCUCACCCCCGUCCCUGUAGCGACCUUUUCCGGAGCUCUAGUCUCCGCCUACUGCUCCACAGCAGUCUCCGUUUCCCUGUUACCACCGACCCGGCCCCCCAUAUCCCGGCUCCUGCACACGUCCCAUAUCCCGCUUAGUCUCAGGGGAGGGAUGGCACCGCCAGGUGGCCAGGGACAUCGCCCGAAACGAGGGACUCGCUGUCUCUGGAAGCUGAGAAUUCUCAGCGUUUUUCUGAAGAGAACGCAUCUCGCCCGGAGCUAGGGCUUGGCUGGGAGACUGGAGGUCUAAGGGUGGGAUGGGGGAGUUUUUCCAUCACUGAAAUUGGUGGUGCCCUCGAGGGCUGCUCCUGUCAUCUGCCCUUCUCUGCUGUAGGGGGCCUCUUCCUCAUGGUGUGUAAAUGUUGAGGGUAGAGCAAGCCCCCACCCUCACCUGCUCGCCAGUCCUUUCUUUCCUUCCUCUCUCUUAGAUGCUUCCUAAGGGCUCAUUGUUACUGGGGGCAAAAGAGGCUGUUUGAUCUGCCCUCUCCUGAAUUUAAAAAGUAGCUUGUAGUAAAUAUUUAGACAGUCUGGCUUGGUAAUAGAAGCCCCAAAGACGUAGGCUCAGGGGAACAGGUGGGACCAAAUCGCUGUCCCCAGCCUGGUUGCUUUAGGAAGGGUCUGGGGGAUUGUUGAACUGAGCUUGGUGCCAGGCACUGCAGUAAGCGCUUUCCAAAUAUCACAUCAUACCUCUCCCCGACAGGGUGUUUUUACGAAUCCAAUGUUACUGAUGAAGAAACCGGCACUUGCAGAUUCCUCCCUGCGGUUUCCAAGGUAUCAUAUUCUAUCUUGUCUCAGGGUCUUGCCUAUGCUGUUCUCUGGAGGAGACUGUCUUCUGUUCUCCUGGUUGAUUCCUUUUCUCUCAUAAAGAUUCUAGUUAGUUGUCACCUCCUCCUCCUCCACAAAGCUUUCCUUUUAGCCCUCAACUCAUUCAGGUUGUGUUGGUGUCAAACCAGUUCUGCCUAGAUCCAAAAUCCUAACAUUUUCCACGAUAUACCCAAAGCAAAGGGCCUAGAGGAAUUACUCCACCUUCCCAUACCUUAGGGACAACCCUGUCCCUUUCUUAACAUCUCUCUCUCUCUCUCACUUUUCCCUUUGCCAGUUCAUAGGCGACAGAACAAGGCAAGUUUGAGAGCACUCUUUGGAGCUUUUUGGGUUUUCUCACCCUGGUCCAAUAUCUCCUUACUGUACCUUCACAUCUUCCUUUUCCUCUUCCAGUCCCACUCCUCUCCCCACCCACAUAUAGGCUCCUAGCGAGUAAGACCAAAUUUAGCUCAUUUUUGUAUGCCCCUAAUUUAUGUACGUUUAACGCAGCGUUUCACAGUCUCUGUACUAUUGACAAUUGGGGCUGAAUAUUUAUUGUAGGGGGCUGUCCUGUGCAUCGUAGGAUGCUUAGCAGAAUACCUGGCCUCUCUUCACUAGAUGCCAGUAGUAUCCUCCCGCUAGUGCGACAACCAAAAAUGUCUCGGGGCGGGGGGCUGGGUGUGGGGGGUGGGGAGUGUGGCGUUUACAGAACUGAAUUGAUAUGAAUUUCCAAGAAAGUCCCUGGCUCAAGGCCUGAACUACUUGACUUUGGAUUUUUUUCAGGGUAUAAUUUGUUAAACUCUUAAAAAUUUACACCCUGCUUUAAAGUUCACAACCCACGCCUUGCUCAUCACUGCUUCAGUGUGGUAAACCUGCCACAGCACAGCCCAUUGGGAUUUCUUAAUAGAAAGAAUUCAUUAUUCUAUCUCUCUUCUUCCCAGUACUUCUCCUCCUAAGUAGUCAGAGCCCUAAGGUUAACAGGCCCAGAACUUCAUAUUCUUUUGUGAGCCUAAUCAAUCGGCAGGAUCCCAACAGUGGUAGCAGACAGGAGUGGCCAGUUUUGAUGCUUUAUUCUUUUCCUGCCUAUUCCUAGGGGAAAGGGCAGACUGAUCUUGGGAGUAGGAUAGAGGACAGCUUGCAAGUCCCCUCUGGUGGCUAUCUAAAGCCACUUGCUAAGCCUAGAGGCUCCAUCUGGCUUUAAUUUCAGAGAAGGAAUGUGUAAAACUGGUGCUAUGAAGAUUGCAUAGAGUCAACACGAGGAGAGACCUCAAUCCAUGAUCUUUUCCACAUCUCAGCGAAAUAGAAUACCUUUACUAAGAUCAGACACCUAUGUGCUCACUAUAGGCCCAGACGUUCAAAAUUUCUAAUAAGGAGGAAGAUAUCUGGAAACAACUGGAAGAUGUAACAAGAAACCACAGAGUAACUGAAAACUUUGAAACUACAGGCCAUGGAAUUGGCACACAUUCAAUUUAUUUUAGCUUAUUUGUCAACAAAGGCAUCAUAGUCAUCAAUACCAUUCACCACAGAGGCACCCAUACCUGGGAGCUAGUCAAGGCUGGUCAAGUCUCUCCAUCUUGCAGAGAUGGCUCCAAUGCUGUUAUAUUUGACGUUAUUAAAAAACCUACAUUACCAAUUUCCCUUGUCCCAAAACUCAGGCUGCCAGCAGAGGGUUGGAGGUAUAAAUAGGUGUAGUUACAAGAAUCACAUAUACCCUUUUCCCCAUAUAAGCACUCCACUUUAAUCCACAGAGGUCAGAUACUUGACUAAAUGGAUAGCACCUGGCACUGAGAAAGCUUAAUAAGACGCAGUAAGUUUUAAAGUACCUGCUUUUUGAGGCUAUCAGGCAGUUAGGAUAAUUUAGUAAAAAAAGGAUAGAACACCCUCCUCUCUCCAUAAAGGGCAGGUGUGGGUGUAAUGAUGCAACAGAGGUUGUAGGGCUCUAGAUUGAGACAAGGAAUGAUGUGUAUGCAGUCAGCAGUGCGUGCCAGGCUCUGUAAAUAAGCAGCACUUUUUAUAUAUCGCUUCAUUAAAUCCUUAUCCUAGGAGAUAAGCAGUAUCCAUUUCACAGGCAAGAAAAUUGAGGCUGUGAGUGGUUAUGUAAUUUGACUAAGUUACAUAACUUGUAAAUGGCAGAGCUGGGAUUCAAACCCAAGCUAGCCUGCUUUAAAGUUCAAGUUUUUUUGCACAAUAUUGUGAGGUGGAGAAACUUGUGCAGCAGUGGAUAGCUUGGGCUUACCCUAUGAUUCUGAAAUAAAGACCCAGGCACCCAAGGUUCCAUCCUUCACAAAUGAGGAGUCAAGCCCUACUGCAGGGGAGCAAAUCCUUUGAGCUGACCGGCUUCAUUGCUAGCUGCUGCAUUCUCCUCCUCUUAACUGGAAUGGCACUAAUUUUGAGGAUUACUGACUGCCCAGACGAUUCUAGCCCUGUGUCCCUUAAUCUAAAUAAUCAGAAGCCAAAGUGGCAGAAGAUUCUGCUAUGAAAAGAAAACAUCUUGCAUACAGGAUGCAGAACUAGUUUAGGUAGUCAACUAAAGAAGGUGGCUAUCAGAAAGCUACCCAAAGAUGGUUACCCUACUGGCAGUUGAGAAAGAAUAGGCAAUUGGAUUAUCCUUUGGUUAAAUCAGGCAACUUGAUUUAGAGACAAAUCUCUGCCUGAUGCACUUCUUUCUUCCCUUUGGCUGGAUAUAAUCAGGUCCUAGUUAUCAAGGUCCUUUGGUCCCAAACUGGGGGAUGCUGAUUUCCUGCAUUUUUCAACUAAAAGGGAGUCAGGGACCUAGAACUAUGGUUUAGUUUCUCUGAGUUAAGCCUACAGUCCUCGACUCCCCAGGGUGGUGGUUCUGAGAAGACAGGUUCUUUACACACACAGCCAGGAUGCGCGUGUAUGCUGGCUGGUAGGAGGGGAACAUGAUAUUUAUUAACUAAGGUCAAACAUGCCUAUUGGUAACAUUUUCACAUCCUAAGGUCAAACAUGCCCAUUGGUAACAUUUUCACAUCCUUGCCCUACAGCAGGAUCUCUAGUUUGUUGCCCAGAGAUCUCUCUCAUCUCUGAAUUUCUAGUUCACAGAAACAAGAAAUACCCUUAAGAGUCCAUGUUAAGAAUAUUUUAUUUGUUUUUUGAGAUUACAUAGUCAUUAUUGCUGAUCUAAUACAAUCACUUAGACAUAAAGAUUUCCAAGAACUUCUCAGAAAUGGUGAUCUUUAGAAGUGUUAUUCCUUUCAGUAAGAUGACAGAACUAGAUGAUUACGUAUAUAGAUAU